GGGCGAAGCGAGCAGGGGGUACCCCACUAGUAUAUUAUAAAAAAAAUUUCGCCGCCGCCGCCGCCGGUUCAAGAAUUCUUUCCCUCAAUUUCCAAUAGGCUUGUGCAACGCUAAAAGUAGACAAUCGUUCGUUGUUUUUCGAUAUAUUUGCGAUACAUUGUUUACUUCAAUCGAACCCCUGAUGCCCCUUCUCGGUAAAGCACAUGCUCGCUUGUGAACCGCGGUACUCUCAUAAACGACUUGUGUUGAAAUUUGAGGUUCUAUUUCCCGACUGGAAAUAGGAGGUGGCACUGCCGUGGGCCAGCAGUGGUUGCCCUACUGCCACCUAGGGGCUGAGCAUGGCUGCCAUAGUGGCACCAAGUUGGAUGCGUUUCGUUCUGCUUCGCUUCUUUGGACUUUGGAGAUAAAAAGAUGUGUCCCUCAAUUCCAUUCCUGCGAACUUCCAGAUUCCUAUUUUCUCGCCAGAACGUGAACAGCUGAUAAUGUUUAUAAAUGUGCAAUUGUGCAAGUGCAGGAUUUAUUUGCGUAUAUACACGACAACGUUUAUUAAAUAAUAAGUAUCUAGCAUUAUAUUGCCACACAAAUGUAUUCGAUUUUUUUUUCAAAUAUGUGAACAAUUUUCGCAUUUAUUGUUAUAUAUAGUACUGAUAUAUUUAAUGUAAUCAAUAUUUAAGUAACUAAAGUUAAUAUUUGACUCAAGAUUGUUAUUGAUCUAACGUAUUAUUGAAAAUAUAAAUCUCCAUGAUUCUACAGCCUUUAAAUGAUUAAUAUUUACCGUAUUACAUUAUUUUGUUUAAAUAAUACUGACAUUGACUCAGAAGCAUUUAGUAUUAUGAAGAUAUGAUCGUACUGAACUGUGAAAAUAAAAAUUCUCCAAGAAUAACAAUAUUUUGAAGCAAAGUUAUACGUUAUUGCAGUACGCAGUAAAUUUAGUUAGAAAAAAAUUCAGUCAUUCAAUACUUUAUUGUCAAUAAUUUGGCAGCAUUUCAUUUGACUGCAACUGCAAUAUAGUUCAUAUCGCUAAUUGAUUGUAUAAUAAUAAAAUAGUGUGAUACAUUAUGAAUAAAGAUUCAUAUACAACUUAUUUUGCAUCAGUUAUGUCAAAUUAACACAAGUAUAUUUAUUAUUUACAUCAAUGAUUAUCCGAUUUGAUACAUGAAAUUAAGUAAUUAAUGCAAUAAUAUGAAGUAUAAUAGCUAAAAGUAAGUCGAAUUACUUACAUGUAAUAUUCAUUUUUAUAUGAAUAAUUAGAAAAUUUAUACAAGCAUUUUAUCAUAAAUACGCUAUUCUAAGCUUACAACUUCAAGGGUGAAUAUGUUGGUAACGUAUUAUACGUGAACAGCUGUAGCAACAUACUAGAAUAACAAUCUCUUGGUCUUUUGAAGAUAAAAUUUUUAUAAAUACAAAUAAAGUACAAGGAAUGCUAUUACAUAAAGUGUUAUUAAAGAUAUGGAACAAUUAUGAGAGAACAAUGGAACCUCAGAAUAUAUCAGUUGAUACUUUAAUUGAAGAAUAUGAAAAUGAACAGUCAAAUUUGGAGAUUCUAUAUCAAAGAUAUAUCAUUGAUGAACAUAUUAAAUUUGAGCAAGAAUAUGAUACUUAUUUACAUGAAUCAAUGUUAAAAUCGCAAGAACAGAAAAUCAAACUAUAACAUGAUAAGAGUUAAACAAGUUAAACUAUAGUUAAACAAGAGUUAAACAAGAAAAUUAAUGAUAAGUCUAAAUAUUUUACAGAAUUUGAACAAAUUUCUAAUAACAUUAUUAAAAGCAAAUUUUAAAAUAUAGAGUAAAAAUUAAUAAACGAUUAUCAAAUGUAAUUAUUAAUAACAAUCAAAAUUUUAUAAAGUAUAUUGUUUCUAUAGCCAAUAUAAUAACAUUAUAUAUUGUUGUCUACACAAUAAUAUUGAAUACAAAUUUUUAGUAACACUUUUGCUGCACUUGGUAUCACAAUUCUAUAAUAUACAUAUGUGUAUAUAUAUAUAUAUAUAUA
rnacentral:lncRNA from 1 species